rnacentral:rRNA from 1 species
GACGAACGCUGGCGGCGUGCUUAACACAUGCAAGUCGAGCGGAAAGGCCCUUCGGGGUACUCGAGCGGCGAACGGGUGAGUAACACGUGAGUAACCUGCCCCAGACUUUGGGAUAACCCUCGGAAACGGGGGCUAAUACCGGAUACGACACAGCUUCGCAUGGGGUCUGUGUGGAAAGUUUUUCGGUUUGGGAUGGGCUCGCGGCCUAUCAGCUUGUUGGUGGGGUGAUGGCCUACCAAGGCGACGACGGGUAGCCGGCCUGAGAGGGCGACCGGCCACACUGGGACUGAGACACGGCCCAGACUCCUACGGGAGGCAGCAGUGGGGAAUAUUGCACAAUGGGCGGAAGCCUGAUGCAGCGACGCCGCGUGAGGGAUGACGGCCUUCGGGUUGUAAGCCUCUUUCAGCAGGGACGAAGCGUAAGUGACGGUACCUGCAGAAGAAGCGCCGGCCAACUACGUG